GUUUCUGAUGAUGAUAUAAACCAUAAAAACUUUCGUUCUUCUGAGAGGAAAAUCGAUGCGGAAUCCUAUAUGGAGACCUGAGCUGAAGAGAC
rnacentral:snoRNA from 2 species